AGAGGCAUAGCUCAAGGGCAGAGCAGUCGAUUGAUAAUCGACCGAUCGUGGUUCGACUCCACGUGUCUCUACCA
rnacentral:tRNA from 1 species